rnacentral:ncRNA from 1 species
GACCAUAAAUAUUUCACCUCUCUAUGGUCGCGGCUG